UAGGCUGAUGCCCGCUGGUUUGGGUGUUUAGUUGUUAAUUAAAUUUUUACGGGAUCGAGGCCCGUCGGUCU
rnacentral:tRNA from 1 species